CGAGUGAGCGUCUGAGUGUGCACAUACACAGCCUUCCUCCUUUAUCUGCAGAGGCUAUGCGAGCUGGAGUUCUAGGCCUUCUCUGCGAGACGCACUCACUGUCCUGAUUGCUCAUGUGCAUACGAGGAAGGUGCUUGGAUACUCCUCCUGGAUAAGCAUGGAGAAAACGUCUAUGCCUUGCUGUUCACCGAAGCGUCUUUACCAGCUCAUCUCUGAGUGCUUACAUUUGUUCUAGAACUUUUCGUCACAAAGAAUAAAAAUCAACGGGCACCAAGAAUUUCCAAGAGCGGUGCUGUAGACCUAGAAGCAGCGCUCCGGCGAGUGGUCCCCAACUGCGUGGAAGUGGCGCAGAGCCCCUGCAAUAAGGAGGCGACCGGAGCCAUUCUGCUCGCUCAUCGUCCAUGUCACCGAGUCUACAGCGAGAUUUACUAAAAGGCCAGCACCCCCGUCUGUCCUCCCUGGCCCCCUCUCUAGGCGGGCUGCCUCCACCAUCGCUCCUGACCCAGCUCCGGGUCUCCUCGUCUGUCCUCCCCCCAUCGGAGACGCGUCGGGUCAGUUGUGCGCCUCGGCACUGCGUGAGCACUGGAGAGGACGCCUGUGCCCGGGCACUGCCCUUAGUCUGCUUGGGGAAGAGACCGCGAACGACCCGAGGAAUGUCAUCAACAUCGAGCGACAUGUGAAAUAAAUGCUCUCAGACUCACUGGUUCCGGCAUAUUAUCCCAGAGACCUUGCACAGCGGACGACACAGAGACAUUCCCACGCUCUUCAGCCAUUUCUGUCAGUAGGUGCUCUGUUGUCGUCCCAGGACUUGCCAUUGUUUAAUGCUAUUCAGCCGUCUAAAAGAAUGAGAAGCUGUCAUUGGAGGUAACAUGACUGCACCUGGAGGACAUGAUGUCAAGUAAAAUAAGCCACGCCCAGAAAGCCGUGUCCUCCGGCACGUGGACAUGGAGAAUGCACCUUUGCAUGUCUGGAAGCAGCGUAAGCCUGGAGCUGGUCACUGAUGGCACCACUUCCACAACCCCGACGGCCAUCAUGUCCCGCGGCCCGGCACCACUAAUCCGGAACCUGAAACACCUGUGGUCUGCGGGACUUCCCAGAACUUCAGAGAUGCCGCUUGGAAAGA